rnacentral:rRNA from 1 species
UACGGGGGGAGCAAGCGUUGUUCGGAUUUACUGGGCGUAAAGGGCGCGUAGGCGGCGCAACAAGUCACUUGUGAAAUCUCCGGGCUUAACCCGGAGCGGCCAAGUGAUACUGUCGUGCUAGAGUGCGGAAGGGGCUACUGGAAUUCCCGGUGUAGCGGUGGAAUGCGUAGAGAUCGGGAAGAAUACCAGUGGCGAAGGCGUUCUGCUGGGCCGUUGCUGACACUGAGGCGCGACAGCGUGGGGAGCAAACAGG